UGCAGUCGAGCGAGAAAGUUCCUUUGGGAAUGAGUACAGCGGCGGACGGGUGAGCAACGCGUGAGAAUCUGCCCUUCAGUGAAGAAUACCGUCGAGAAAUCGACGUUAAUGCUGCAUACGUCCCUUCGGGGAGAAAAGUGGCCUCUUUGCUACUGCUGAAGGAUGAGCUUGCGUACUAUUAGCUAGUUGGUGGGGUAAAGGCCUACCAAGGCGAUGAUGGUUAACCGGCCUGAGAGGGUGUUCGGUCACACUGGAACUGAGAUACGGUCCAGACUCCUACGGGAGGCAGCAGUGAGGAAUAUUGCGCAAUGGGCGAAAGCCUGACGCAGCGACGCCGCGUGGAGGAUGAAGGUCUUCGGAUUGUAAACUUCUGUUAAGUGGGAAGAAAGAGCUGCUUUUAAUAGAGGCAGUUAAUGACGGUACCAUUAAAGAAAGCACCGGCUAAACUCGUGCCAGCAGCCGCGGUAAUACGAGUGGUGCAAGCGUUAUUCGGAAUCAUUGGGCGUACAGGGUGUGUAGGCGGCAUGUUAAGUCUGUUGUUAAAUUCUCCGGCCUAACCGGAGACAGGCAGCGGAAACUGGCGUGCUAGAGGGUGGAAGAGAGAAGUGGAAUUCUCGGUGUAGCGGUAAAAUGCGUAGAUAUCGAGAGGAACACCGAUGGCGAAGGCAGCUUCUUGGUCCAUUCCUGACGCUGAAACACG
rnacentral:rRNA from 1 species